rnacentral:rRNA from 1 species
AUGAUCCCGGCGGACCCCACUGCUAUCGAGGUGGACUAAUCCAUGCUAGUCGAACGACCCCGGACUAUGGCGGGGAAGUGGCAUACUGCUCCGUAACACGUAGCUAACUAACCUCGGGACGGGCACAACCCUGGGAAACUGGGGCUAAUUCCCGAUAGGCGUGGAAUCCUGGAAUGGGUCCACGCCCAAAGGUCAGCGCGCCCAUGUCGUGCGCGCACGCCCGAGGAUGGGGCUGCGGCCGAUCAGGCUGUUGGCGAGGUAAAGGCUCACCAAACCUUUGACCGGUACGGGCCAUGAGAGUGGUAGCCCGGAGAUGGGCACUGAGACAAGGGCCCAGGCCCUACGGGGCGCAGCAGGGGCGAAACCUCCACAAUUCACGAAAGUGAGAUGGGGUUACCUCGAGUGCCAUCUGAAGAAGGUGGCUUUUCCAUGGUGUAAUGAGCCGUGGGAAUAAGGGGGGGGCAAGACAGGUGUCAGCCGCCGCGGUAACACCAGCCCCCCGAGUGGUGGGGAUGUUUAUUUGGCCUAAAGCGUCCGUAGCCGGCCCGGUAAAUCUCUCGUUAAAUCCAGCGUCCUAAGCGUUGGGCUGCGAGGGAAACUGCCAGGCUAGAGGGUGGGAGAGGUCAGCGGUAUUUCUGGGGUAGGGGCGAAAUCCAUUGAUCCCAGGAGGACCACCAGUGGCGAAGGCUGCUGACUAGAACACGCCUGACGGUCAGGGA